rnacentral:lncRNA from 1 species
GGAGGGUUUAGACUUUAGAGUGGGGUAUAUUUUUCGGGUGCGUCUGAUAUGCUUAUGGAAGCACGGAGCGUUCCGUGCUUCCACUUUGUUUUCGAUGUUCGGACUUUCGAAUCGACGAUCGGCUCCGUUAGACUUGAUCUAGAGUAUUUGAAGUAUUUAGAAAAAUAAAUUUUGCGAUUUUUCGAUAUCAUUUGCCUAGUGAUCGAAGUGGCUCAAAAUCAACGGCUGAAAAUAAAAAUCUUACGAAAUAUGAUGAUAUGACAUUAAAAUUUUAGAUCAAAGUUAUUGAUCUUAUUUUAUAUGGUAUAAAGAAUUUUCUAUCAAAAUUUCAUACGAUUUGGAUAUUUCUACACCGUUAAACUUGCAACCGGCUCACCACGGCCAUUAAAAUUAUUGAUUUUGAGCCCCUUCGAUCACUAGGCAAAUGAUAUCGAAAAAUCACAAAAUUUAUUUUCUAGGUACUUCAAAUACUCUAGAUCAACUCUAACGGAGCCGAUCGUCGAUUCGAAAGCCCGAACAUCGAAAACAAAGUGGAAGCACGAAGGGCUCCGUGCUUCCAUAAACAUACCGGCUUACUUAUAUUUUUCUAUAUUUUUUGUUCCCACUUACUAUUCCAUUCAGAGCGGAUCGGGGCAAGAGGUCCACCAACUCGGAUCCAUUUGUAUUUCUAUCGUAUACGUGCUUAUAUUUUACACUUUUGCAUCUGGAGAUUUAUAAAACUCUCUUAAAAUUUUUAGGAAAAAAAUUUUAAUAAGACUAACAAAAAGUUUCUUACCAUAAAAAGCCGACGGCAUAAAUUUUGCACGAAUAUUAUAGAUAUACAGGUAGCAUUGCUUCUUUUAUAUA